AUUUUUUCUCCUUAAAGCACAUGUACCUGGGAGGUCACAGUCUUAACAAAGUCAAAGUUUUGUGUGUUUGAGAGCUUUGCCCUACUACCAUGUAAUUGAAAUCAAGCUUUUAAAAGCUCACGGUAAUAUGUUUGUUCUUUAACCUCACCCAACGAAGAGAGAGCGCUUUGCUGAGAGAACCCAUUGUUACGCUCCUGCACUUAACUGAUAAGGAACUGAUACAACCAGUAGCAAAGAAAGAAACUAAUAAUAAUAUAAAAAGAUUCACAUGCCUUCCUUCCCCAGCAUACUAAUGCCUUGCCCAAUGAAUUUCCCAAGUUGUUAACAAAUGAGGUGCAGUAUAUUUAAUAAUAUUAACAUAUUGUUGCAAGGCUUAUUUAAUAACAGGUAGGAGGGAUGAGUUCUCAUGUCAGAAAAUGGAGGGCCUCAUGCCAUUUGGAGACCUGCUCAUUAUCCGUUCUUACAAUUUAAUGAUAUAUGUGUCUAUUACCGAGGAGAAGUAGAGGAUCUACUCAGGAACUCUGUGAGAUUGAUUGACUGGAAAAACGCAUAAAGGCUUAAACUAUCUUACAUCAUCUGCCAUGCAUACAGGACACUUUCUCUGCUAUGUGAAAAACUCUGAGCAACUGGAGACAGUGAAAAUAUGUAAAUGGGACUGGGCUGAUUUCAAGGAGAUGACAUGUGGGUUCUGAAUGUGUUCGGCAAACCAGGAAAUCACAUCCUUCCCAUUCCAGGAACCAGGACCUCAUGAGCGAACUUCGCUCUGGAGAAACCUAGUGAGAUGUGAGAACAACUUGUGCAAUAAAAUCAGUGGGGAAUGGAUAUCAAAGUGUACAGCAACAUUUACACUGCAUUAACACAGGAGCAGGGAUUUCCUCUCGUGCUCCCAGGAAGGUGAGUUACAUCUUUGCUACAGACAGUUUAGGUAGGAUAAAAUCAUAGAAUCAUAGAAUCAUUAAGGCUGGAAAAGACCUCUAAGAUCAUCUAGUCCAAUCCCUGCUAAAGCAGUUCCCUACAUCAAGUUUUGUUAUAUGCUUGCUGGAUUCCUCUCAGAGAUGAACCUGGAAGCUCUGCUCCAGUUGUGCCUCCAAAAUGCAUCAAGCUCCAGAGAGGAUAUAUAGAGGCUCAUCUUUCAGAUGGCUUCGAACUACCUUUGUGGAGGAAUUCAGAUCAGAGGAUCAGGCUACAUCUUCUUCAAAGAAAAAAUUCCCAGACCAUUUAUAUAGCAAAGGCACUGGGACUCAGUUACAUCUGGUUUCAUAAACAUUAAUUCCUAAGAAUUUAAACCAAAUUACUCGCUAAAGCACAGAGCUGAGCAAGCUCAUCAGUUGUCCAAAUCCAAAAUCUGAACUCCAUGAACACUGUACUGCUGUCUAACCACGCCAGUGACUGACAGCAGCAGACACCUAAAGUUCUGCUCCUGAGCAUAUCAGAAGCAUUCUGUUAGUGAUAGUGGCAUGACAGCUGGAUUUAUACACAAGCACAAGCACAUUCUCACAACACUGCUCACUCCUGGCAGACAUCCUCUGAGUAUGACCACUUCAUUGAUUCAUCCAAGGCACAAUGAAAGGAAGAAAUAGUACUGACUUCUUACCCUAAAUCUCCAGGGUUGAGAGGCCAACUUAAGAGUGUGCAAAAAGCAGAGGUGCAAAUCACUCUUUUAAGGUAUAAAUUAUUAAAGCAGAGAGUUGAAAGAGUAGAUAGAAAUGGUGGUUGGGAGGAAGAUCUGGAGGCCUCUCAUGCAACUCCCACAUGACAUGGGACAUUUGCCAGCUGCAGAUGUGCUUAACUUCUAACUGAGUCUUAAAGUUCUCCAAGGACAGUUUCCACAACCUCUUGGGCACCUGUUCCAGUGCUGCAACACUCUUCAAGUGCAUUUUUUCCCAAUGUCCAACCUGAGCAUGCCAAGCUGCACUCUGUGGCCAUCGCCCCUUGUUACAUUGUCUAGGACCAUUGAGAAAGGUUUGGCUAUGUCAUUUUUUUGUAACUCCCUGUCAAGUAGGUGCUAUUACAUUACCCCUUAUCCUCUUUGCCAGACCAAACAAACCGUUUCUUUAGCCUCUCCCUGUGAGUCAGGUGCUCUUGGUCCUUGACCAUGUUCUGGGUCCUGUGCUGGGCUUUCCUCCUUUCUGAACUAUAACUUCUAUACAGAUGUGCUCACAGUGCUACCAAAAGCAUGGUAGUGGGAUACUGCAUUAUUUUGCACAGGUUUGUGCCAUGUGAGAUCAAUUCAUAAUUAUUAAUUGGCAAUUUGUUUACUAGAGAUGAAAAGAGUAAAAAUUAGGGCUCAGAAAUGUGUCUAUUUAAAUCCAACAGGAAAUUGCACAUAGCUCAGCACUUACGGCUUGUGACGGGGUGAAAAUAAAGCUGACUUUUCCUGCCCUUGGUAAAAUAUGUUGCUGUGGCGCAUAAUGCUAAGGAGUCACCUUUACUAUCACAGGCUUUAUGUUCAUAAUUCUUUACAGUUUUACUCUUUAUAACACUUACCUUUUGGCACUGUACCUAACCUACAUAAGUAGCUGUUAUUCCAAGAGCUGACACAUCUGCUGACUGAGCCAACAGUUGCAUGACACCGAUGAACUACAAAAAGGGAAAAUAAGCACCUGUGGUCGCUGCUCUGUUCCAGUCCUGGCAAACCAACACUUCGGCAUCCUUUACUGGCACUUGCAAGUGUUAUGAAGCUGUUGUAGUGGCACUAUCCUGAAGCAGCUUAUUGAGGUUUACUCACUGAUGUGUCAGGGCUUGGUCUUGAACAUGUGCUAUUUGUAGGAGAACCUGAGAUGGAUUUUAUCUGGGAUUAACUAACAGUCCAGUUUAGGCUGUGCUAUAGCUAUUUGUAGCGAACGUAUUCUAUGAAAAGCUACUCUGGAUUGGUAAGUGCUCUGAUAUCUUCAUAGACAAAGCAAUUUACAGCAUACUAAUGUAAAAAAAAAAAAAUCUGUUAGAAAAUAGUUCCUCCUCCAUAAAUAAUUUGAAUGAAACAUCAAAGAUCUUCCGUGUACUGCCUCUUUACUAUCCUGAGUAACAGCAUAGUGAUAGCAUGAGAGGUAAAGUUGCGCCAGUGGAGGUUCAGGUUGGAUAUUAGGAAAAACUUCUUCUGAGAAAGAGCAGUGCUGCAGUUACACAGGCUGCCCAAGGAGGUCGUGGAGUCACCGUCCCUGGAGGUGUUCAAGAACUGUGGAGAUGUGGCACUGAGGGGCAUGGUUAGGGGGCAUGGUGUGGGUGAGUUGUCAGGGUGGACUAGAUGAUCUCCAGAGCUCCCUUCCAACCUGUACGAUUCUGUGAUUCUGUGAAAGACACACUUCAUUAUUCAUAAUGGCUACAAGAGUUUUCUAUGGAUGUAAGAGCAGCCACAAAGCAUAAAGGCAGUUUACGCCAGAGUCCUGUCUCUGGUAGUGGUCAGCAGGGGAAGAGCAAAUGGAUAGAUCAAAUUCAGAGUUCUCCUUCCCAAAUGUAAUUCAUUCUUCAUAGUCAUUCUGGGUAAUGGACUCCUAAAAACAGUGACCACAUCAAGACCAUUUAGCUUAAAAGUCACCAGAGAAUCUAUCCUUCGUGACUUUGUUAAAUUCUUCUACACUUUAUACUUUUGGCUUCCAUAAAUUUCUGUGUCAAGUUGUACCUCAUUUUGAUCACACAUCCUGCUUUCAAAUGCUUUCAAAUCCCCUUUUUUUUCUUUCUUUUUUUUUUUUUUGUAUAUUUUAAGCUUGCUGUUUCCUAGUUUCACUGCGUAGCCCCUAAUUCUUACAUUAUGAGAAACUGUGAAGUAGUCGCAGAGAAGUGCUGUGAUGACUACACUGAAGCACUCAAGAGGAGUAAUUUUGAGUAAUCUGUCCUUUGAUUACAUGAUAUUAAAGCAGUCAGAAAACCAGACCCUGCGAAUAAUUUAUAUCCAUUUUCUGGUAGCUUUGAUUUUUUUUGACAAAAACACCUAGAUUCGGGUUAACAAUGAAAUUUCUCUCUCUGGGAGCAGCAGCAUGAUCUAAAGCAGCACAUCUAUGUAAGAUAUGCACAGCAGUUGGUUAACCACUUUGGAGUGUUACCUUGACGUUGUAAGAUAAAAAGAGAGCAGAGCAAAGAGGGAUGAUGAGGAUGUUGGUGCGUUACAAAGAAAUCUCCAGAACGGCUUAAUUUCUUUGCACAGUUCAGUGUUAAAUCAUCCUAUAAAAUCCCCUGGUCACCUUUAUUGUGCAGUAUUAUAAAUACCACAAAUCUUUUUGACUCUCAUCCCUUGCUUGCGAGGUGUAUAUGCUGCUGUUUAUGUUUUUCUUCUUCAUGAAAAGCAAUACAAAUUUCAAGGCAUUCCUUUCACUACGCACCAGAAUCUGACCCAAGAGAAGGCAUGGCACUCAUUACACUCUUGGCACUAUAUUAAUAAGUACAAAGGGUCAUGGUGAAAUCUUUCUUCUGAGUUAUCAUUCCAUUUCAGCAAUUUGUUUCCAGCGCAAGCUGAAAGCAAAAUGCAUCCACAUGACAAUUAAAGGCCGGAGUGAUUCAUGCGUGCUCUUUAACAAUAAAUUACCUAUGGAUUUCUGAAGCCCCCAGUUCAAUUCUCAUUAUAAUCUCACAAUAAGCACUACCAUCCAUGCCCUUCAAUAUUUGACAUAAAUUAUUGGAGGCAGUAUGUAUUUCAUCUUCGUUGAUACAAGAAAUUACAAGUGGCCUAAUGGUUAGUGACAGAAGUUGACAUAUCAAAGGAUUCGGAAGAACAUAAACAAAAAAUAAAUCACCAUCCCACUGCCCCUCCCAAUACUAAAUUCCUCAUUUUACAAAGACCAUAUAAUCCUUUCAUUUUCAAACAAAUACCACUGUAUCACUGUUAUUUUAGCAUAAGCUAGCAUAAAGCUUACAAUAAGGACAUGUUUAAUGUGCUUUUUAAUAGUCUGUUUGAAGGACUUCUUACUGACAUCAUAUCGUUGGGUGAUCCAAAGGGGAUUACAUGUGUCAGUCCAAUCAAUUGGUGGUAAUUGUAGCACAAAAGACCCAUCUGAGAGCUCAUACAGACACAGUAAACUGUGCUGCUAUAUUCACCUACCUUGCUAGAAAAAGAGAAAACAAAACAAAACAAAAAAAACCAGCUAUUAAAUUAAUUGGCACUAAAAGCAUAUAAUAGUUAUCUAAUCUAUUAAUUUUUAGUUUAAUAUUAACUAGGGUGUCUCCUAUGACAAGUAUUUGACCUGUAGAGAAAGAAUGGAGUAAGAUCACCCCUGCCGUCUUUCAAGUUAACAAAAUAGUUGCUUGAAGGAAAGAGGUGAAGGCAUUCUUUAGCCUCUGCCUCGUACUCUAAGAUUUUAUUUGUUUUCACACAAGUAUUGACUUUAUGUGGGGCCAGCCUGGUUGUGCCUGACGCAGCAUGUUUCUCUGCAAACUUCAGAGCUUUCAGCCCAGCCUCGGGGAUGGCAGGGGCCACAUUGCCACUUUGCAGAGCGUGGAGUGAGUGUUCAAAGCUCACAUCGUCUCUGCAGCCACAGCAGAGUACAGAGAGGCUCCCACCACACUCACCAGACACCUGAGCACCACUGCCUUGGGUCAAUAGAACUCAUCCCUUCCAUGAUGUGUGCCCACGUACACGGCCAAGGAAACAGCCUGGGAAUCAGCCUCCUCUUCCCAUCUCUGUCCCUUUGGUUUGACACAGGUCUAAAACCCCUCUAGCAAUCAAUUAGUUCUAAUUAUGGCCAAAAGAACUGUUUACCGCCUUCAAGGAGAGCUUUUGGGAAAGCAUUAGGAAGAGCAAGAUAAAUAUCCAGCACACAAGCCAUGGCUUCACCCUUUUGAAAAACUGUAUUCAGGAGGGCUGACAUGAUUUAUGACCUCGAUAAAAGCAGCAUUUCUGGCUGGAGCUGCUGCCAUGAGCAACACGUGCACCUGCAGCGUUACCCAGUGAAUCCCCCAUCGCUGCUGCCAUCGUGCACCCUGCAUGCCCCUGUGCCGUUGUAAACCUGACAGAGCUGCGAGUUAAAUGUAGUAACACAUGAGCUCAGAGUUUCAAAGAGAGAAGUUCAUUCCCUAAGAAUACUCAGUCAUCAGCUAAUCUCAAUUGUCUUCUAUUCCAAAUAGCUCUAACAUAAGAAAGAGUUUCACUCAUGCACCCUACCUGCCAACGCUUCCUAAAUACCUCACAAAACAAAUACAAGUUAUUAAAAGGAACUAAAAUGAUCUCAUAGGAUGAAAUGCUGCCUGAGCAAGGAGGCUAACACUCAUUUUCACUCUGCCAGUAAAGAAGGUCAGAAGCUUUUGUCUGUGCAAAAGUAUAGACUCCUCUGUAUUCACAUUGGCUAAGACUUAAGAGUCUCUUAUGACGAGCACAGCUGAUGCACAACUGAUAUUCUCUUUUACCAGUGCAAAAAAACUGCAGUCACAGUUAUCAUAUAGACAGUGAUGAAAAGUGAGAAGUUAGAUAUACAAAUAUGUCUUCUGGAAGUACAUCUUUCACUGUUAUGCCAGUAAAAUGAGAAGUAAAAAUACCCCAAUUUUCAAAAAUCCAAGUUGAUUCAUGUCUAUGAAAUCCCUCAAACCUUCCUGUUGCAGAACAAAUUCAGAUCUUUAAUUUAACAAAAUAGUAGUUGGCUUUUUGGUGACCUCAUGACCUGCAAAGGUACAAUCUUUUGUUUCAAUGGAAAAUGAAAUUUAUGUAAGAGUCUGAGUGCAAAUAUGUCAGUGCACCUAGCGUAUUAAAGAAUAGUUGCAAGUUUCUGGCAUUGGGCAAUAAUACUUCCUUACAAUUUGAACAUAGGAAGCAAGGGCAUCAUGUCUGAAAAGCAUGAAUAUUGAAUAAACUAGGUAAACUUUUCAGGUAAGGAAGAACAUUUUGAAAGCAGAGAGUCUAGAACAGCAUUUUUCCUUUCCCAUUGUCAGAUGGUAAUUUACUACCCUUUUUCAGUAGCUGCAGUAGCUUCAGAAGAUAAAGAGUUAUGGUCAUAUUUUAGACUGCACAAAGUGGGAUUACAAGUCUCUUCUGGCAUUUCAACCAAAGAAGUCAAGAAGCAAAUGGCAAGACCAGCUAUUCAAAUACUGCCACCAAGACAAGAGGUGGAGGUCGGUCUAUUCUCCCAGGUAACAGCAAUAGGUCAAGAGGUAAUGGCUGUAAGUAGUGCCAGGAGAUGUUCAGAUUGGAUAUUAGGAAAAUUUUCUUCUCAGGAGUGGUGCUGCAGUGGCACAGGCUGCUCAGGAAGGUGGUGUAGUCACUGUCCCUGGAGGUGUUCCAGAACUGUGGAGAUGUGACACUGAGGGACAUGAUCAGUGGGCAUGGUGGGGAUGAGUUGAUGGUUGGACUAGAAGAUUUUAGUGGUCUUUUCCAACCUUAGUGAUUCUAUGAUUCUAUUCACUAUGAAUAGAUUUUGAUUCACUUGCAGAAACUCUAUUCAUACUGUAUGAACAAAUUCCUUUUUUUCAUUGGAUCCUGAGGGAGCUGGGCCCACAGCCCUGGAGAGCAGCUAAUCUGAAUAGCUCCUUCUUUGCUGAAACUCAGUGCUGUGCCACCACGCUAUCCCAAAUCACCACAAUAAGCAAUUUAUUGAGAUUUAAGAUAUACACAGCCUUUUCGGCAGUGUAUUUGCAGGUCAUGUCCUUUCCUCAUAUCUUGUGGAGAAGGCUUCAGUUUGUCCUCUUCAUGUUGUGCUUGUGCCUCUGAUUUAGUUACCAGCUGCAGAGCAGUGGGGUUUAUUAAAGAUGGAUAAAUUAGAGACAGUCAAGAUAAAGAUUUAACAGUGUAAAAUUGCUAUAUUUCCUCACUAUUACUGUAGCACCCAGUGCUCACAGCCAUUAGACGCAGAGGCAAAGAUCAGUGCUGUAUCUCAAAAAUCAAUAAAAAUCUGCCUGUUCUUUUGAUCUAAAUGAUAAACAAAAUCUAUUUUCUUUGUGAGCACACAAGGACUGUUAAGCAUCUCUGCUCUGCUUGUAAGAGUUUCGCUUUAACUUCCUGUGAACAACAAGGCUAGGAUCUCAGUAGUAGAAUUUUCUUACAUUCUUCUCUGCUGAUUUGCUAGGGCUCUUGAAUGAUAAAAUCAUGAUUUUAGUAAUAAGUGGAGUUAGGAAAGUAUGUUUGGAAUUUGAAAGAAGUGUUGAGCUUAUGAUGUGUGUCCCAUUCCACUCAGGCAACCUUUUGCAAGCAAGUGAAAGGCUCAAUGCAAAGUACAAAUUAUUCCUUGUCCUUCACAAGCGCCUGGCAGCAUGGAUCCCUUUGAGACAGCAGCAGCACAUCAUUAGUAUCUUUGCAAUACCAGUCCUGGCUGUUCAGUUGGCACCAAGAUACCUUGGCACGUUGACAUUAGCAGUGACAUUAGCUAAUGUCACUAAAAUUUGAAAAAAGGAGAAAAUAAGUUGCUGCUUUGAUCUUGGCAGGAGAAAAGGUCAUAAGUGCUUUGGUUUUGCUAUUUAGAUGUCUGAGCAUUUCCUUUCUGCAUGGCUGAAUUUCCCUAGAAAACAAUGGGUCAGUUUGCUGUAUGUGAGGUCAGCAACUGAGCAUUAUUUUACAUCCCAUAUAGCAUCAAGGGAGUAAAGGGAAUACUAGUUACUACACUACAGAGCAAUUCGGGAGAUACAUGCAAAACUUCUUUCUCUUCCAUAGAUCAUGUCCUGUGAUCUUGAGCCAGUUCUUUAUUUUUCAAAGCCUGGUUUCACAUGGUUACACUGGUGCUUUCUACACCUUCCUCCUAGCUUUUGCACAUCUGGCCAAACCAAACUGGAGUUGAAUCUGCAACUGAUCCCCAGGUCAUGGUGAAGUAUACUUUUUCUAUGUAAUUCAUACCAAGCACCCCUUCCUCUAUGCGCUGCUGUAGUACAAAUUAUCUUUAAAACACUAUAUACUUUGCAGAGUCUUUAUUCCAUGAUUAUGUGGCUACAUAUAUCAGGAAAGUGAGUAGUCUGAAUAGGUCUCACUGUGUCCUGGCUAGUACAGAAUUUAUGUGAGUGCAAAGUUUACCUUUUCUGACACAAAAGAUCCCUGCAACCAAACACACGCUGUACCACAAAGAUGUGGCACAGUCCCUACACAACAGUCAGAUGCAGACAAAGGACAGCAAAUAGCUCCCAAGGUAAAUAGCAAGUGAGGGAGUGUUAUUACGAUUAUUACAACAAUCUAGCCAGCCUUGACCCCAGAAAAAAUGGACCAUGGGUAAUUGUGUUUUGUUCCAUAGCUGGAAAUUAAAUACACCACUUACAGAGCAGAAAUGUACUUUUGACUAAUUUUCCUUUUCCUACUGAACUUGCACAGACUCAGCUGUCCCCAGAUGUUCAGAUACCAAGAAGAUGACAAUGAGGAGCCUGGGAGAUGGCAUUCCUUGAACCUCAACAACUCCAACAGUCUCACAAGCAUUCAAAUGGGUUAGAGGAGAGUUUGCUCUUGUAUUUCUUCCUGUAAUAGCACACACAUAUCAGACCAAUGUUUUACACCUCUUCAACACACACAGUGGCUGAAAUGGAUAAUUUGGAAAAGAGACGGAUGGCAACAAGUGUGAGUGUGGAACACUAAUCCUUAGCUGAUUCCACAAAAGUCGUAUACUAUUUAUUCAAUAGUAAGUGAGAAUGAAGCAAGGGUCUGCCCAUAUGAGAGGGCCGGAAGUGGAAGGACUGUCAUGGAUUUCAUCUGAAUCAGUUUGCAUUCACAUGUCUUUGGUUUAAUUCUUAGGGAGCCCCAAGUGGAGCCAGGAGAUGGGCUCAGUGAUCUUCGGGGACAUUCUGUGAUUCUGUGAUUCUCCACCUAUUAGGCAUAAAUUGAAAUGGCACUGAGAACCACAGUAAAGUUCAGCAAAUUGCACAGGGAAUUGGUUUUCAUCCAUCAGUUAGGAAAGAAAAGCUUGCAGGCCAAAAGAGAUCAGAAGUCUGUACGUUGUGCUGUGUUGCCAGCAUCAGCCACUGGCAGAUCGCAAUUCAGAAGAUGAAACAGUUUGCAGUGUAAAGACAGGGAGUGUUAACUGAGAAUCUUAAAAUGAAACGUAACUGUGUAGUUAAUAGCCUUAUGACAGGGCAAAGCAGAACAAAAUACGGAACAAGAAAGGACAUCUCCCAUGCUUCUUACUACAGGAAACAAACUUUCACUAUCGAUGACAAUAGCUAUUGUAGAAGAAGAUGGAUGGCAUUGACACAGUAUGUGAUUACUAAGAUAGAUUUUCUUGGUCAAGCCAAAUAUUUUUGAUUGAAGAAGAAAUAAAUAUAUUUUUCACUUCAUGUUAUAGCUGCUGUUGUCUGAAACCCAGUGGGGAAAAACAAUUGUAAAAACAUAUUUUGUUUUCCUGAUUAUUUUCCAAAGGAACUCUGAACAAAACACAUUCAGGAGUUGAAAAAUCCAACUGGCUCUGAUGUUUCCUGUUUUCCUGGAUUGCAGCAGUGCUGAUAGUCAGAUACGGCAUGAGAAGGGUGUGGGAAAUGGCAGCAGAACAUACCCUGCCCUGUCUUGGAACAUGAGGAACUUCACCUGUGCUCAAAGAGAAGAUCGAGGAAAACUGGCAGAGGGAGGAAGCGUAUCUGGAGUGUUUUGGCUGUCGUGUAAAAUUUAAAAGAAUGUAUAAAUCCAUUGCAAAGGCUGUGUUUUGUAACAAUCUCCUUCCGUGAAUUUUGCUGGUUUCUGAAAUUCCCCAUCUGCAAACUUCUAUUAUAUUCUUCUCAGUUCUUCCCUGAUUCUUCUUUUUUUAUUAUUAUUAUUGAAUCCCCCAGGAUUUUCUAGCCAGAGGAACAUGUAGCUCUCAUAAACGAUGUAGACCUGCAUCCCUUUGGCUUCUCUGCUCUGAUGCUCAGGGAAAACCUGAAAAUAGACAUCAGGAUGGUUUCUUCACCCUCUGCCACUGUCUGACAUAGAUGACCUUCAUCAAGUCACAUCAUCACACACACCCAUUUAUAGAUCAGAGAGGGCAGUACUGCCUCAUUUGAGCACUGCUGUGGGUUAUGGGAGCCUUGCUAACUGCAGGGGCUGUGCAAAGGGAGCGCUGCGCAGGUUCAGACUGUCCCUGUGCAAGGAUUCCUCCGACGGCAGCACCGCCACGUCCCGUCUCACAGCACCUGACAACAUUCCAGUUGGAGCUUGCACUUUCAGGCAGGGGCUUUCAAGUUUGAUCCCUUCAAAUCUCUGAAGUUCACCCGCACAAUUACCUCUGCUGUUCAAAGCAAGCCAGGGCUUAGAUGGAAAUAAAGAACACGAAAGGAUUUCCCAGGGUGCUCCUGGAUACAGAGAAAAAAAAAAAAAAAAAAAAAAAGGAAUGGAAAGGGAAAAAAAAAAAGAAGAGAGAAAGAAGAAAGAGAAGAAGCAUUACACCUUGAAGUUCUUGCAGUUUAUGUGAUAUUGUGUGAUAUUAAAUGGCCAAAUUCUGUUCUCAGGUGGCUGAGAUCAAGCCCUGCUAUGCUGCUGUUGCAGCCAUCAGCACACAUCUUGGUGCUCUGUGUGCUCAGGGGGAACAGCUGUGGGAUCCCUGAGGGUAUGGGGACCUAAUUUGCCCUAAAAAGCCCAGAGGACCUUUGCUAGCAGUUGUAACACUUCUCUCAAACAGUAUUGUGUUUUCAGCUGGAGACAGCAGCUGCCCCUUGCAGAAUUCAGGCUCCAUCAGACCGAAGCUCCAUCCCGUUGUUUUAUGAGAAAUUCACAUACACAUAGCUGUAAAUUAGACAUAUCAUGGAUUAACCUGUAAUAAGCUGCUCCUUUAGGUUUAAAAUUGUUACCAAUGAGCCGCAAAUUUUAACUAUUACCUACACCUUAUUCCCUCCCUGACUCCGUUUGCCCUGUUUCCAGUGUUGACCUCACUUCCUGCUUUUCUCUUUCUUCUCCUGCUAAUUAGGCAUAUUUGUAUGUCUUAGGAGGGCACCUGAUCUUGCUGCUUAUUUCCCACUUGGAUCAAAAGUCUUUAAAAAAAGUUUCAGCUUUUAAAACACAUUUUACGAGAUGACUAUAUAUAUAACUAACCUCUUAGGAUCGAUACUGACCUACAUCUUUUUCUUCUGUCAUAAUGGGCUUAUCUUUACCUGAUGCUUAAAAUAAUCUUUUCACCUGAGCAGUUCUGUCAUUUACACUUUCUUUCUCUUUCUGUCUGUUAAAAAAACAUUGCAAGGAAAAGAAAAAUCAUCUAUUGGAUACAGCCUGUUUGCACUGGGCACACAUGUUUAUGAAUCAGAUAAGACCUUUGUGUGUCAGGUAGGUGGUGGCACUAAAAGCUUUGUAUAUCACGACAUCAAAGCAGCCAGGAGAUGAAAGAGCAUAUUUUUGCAUCAUAAACAAUAUUUACAUAUUGUGAUAUUCCAAGAAUCUUUCAUUUAAACAGGUGGAAAAACAGGGAAGCAAGCACACAUGCAAGGCAAAAUCUUACUUGUGGUUGAUGAUUAAAUUUUAUAUGGCUUUGAUAUAACCACUGCAAUUAAGUGCAGUGAUGAGCAAGGACUUGUUUUGCUCUUUAUAGGGUACACAUUGUUUACUAAUCCCUGGUUCAUAUGAUAAAUCCGUCAUCAUCUGGGCACAGCUGCAAAUAAAAUUUUAAAAGGACAAUUUUCACCCAGUGGAGCAAAUUUCAGACUUCUUCUCUCUCCUGUGCAGUCUCACUGUAUUUUUUCCCCCUGUGCAAAGCUUAAUAUAGGCAACUUUUGAACUCAGACUCAGACUUCAGCCCUUUUGUCUCCAGAUUCUAUCAAUUGUCAGGCUCUGGAUCACACAUUCUCAAUGUAAAUAGAGGCUGGAGAUUCAUUUAGCUUUGCAGCCGAAGGUGGUUGUUAAAAACUGGAACGCGCUCAAUCACUGCAAAUCAACACACUGCAAUUUUCACUUUUCCUGAUUUUGAGCAUUCAUCACCACUUGCUCUUCACCCUUGAAAAGAAGGGCAAAAAGACAAAUUACUUUAAUUAGGAAUUAGUUAUGAGAGAAUGAGGUGUUCUAAUUAUAUCUAGAACCUCUUAAAUAGUUUCACUCAGGCUUAUUUGAUUUCUUAAUUACUGAAAGAGAAAAGCCGCGUGCAAAUUGUGUCAGUUUUUUAAAAGUGAAAUGCUGUCGCUCCUUUGAUAUGAUGGAUUAGUCUUCAAUGAACAGCGGUAAGGCAAUAACACCUCUAAGACAGCACAUGCAUUAGCACAGGACAAUCUUUUUUUGUUGAAACAUUAGAUAAUCACCUUCUCUCGUAUCUCAAAAUACAUUAUUUUAUACACUACAGUGUGAAACCAUAGAUGUGACAGGCUGUAAUGAUUUAUUUAUGAGACAUUAUUCUUUGAUGCAAGAAUACAUUAGGUUAUAGAUCCCAUUUCCACAGAUAUAAUAUGUCAUGUGCUGCAUCUGAGCUCCAGUAAGAUACUGUAGGAUGUGAGUUUCAUUUUGUAUAUAUAAAACUGCAUAUAAAUAUAUAUUUUAUGGCUCUAUCAACAACCAAAGUUGAAUAGCAGUUUCCCUUUUAAUGGAUCCUUCAAAUCAUAUUUUUCCUGGGCUUGUCUGAAAAUAUAUAUCAAAUUGGUGGUAGGUCUGAAGAGACUGUGGUGGCAACAGUAUUUAGUUUAUAAAUGCUUUGAAUACUAUUCUUUGUUAUGGAUGUUGAAUGUAUCUAUUUUAGCUAUUUCAGGAAUUAUGUAGAUCAUUUUGAAAGUAAUUAUCCAGAUUAUUAGCAGCAUUUUUCAACUGUAUCUUUGCUUGUCUUAAUAACAAGUCCAACUGUAUCUGAAACACAGAGUGCAGCUCAAAUUCUGAAUCAGAAAGCGCAGCACAAAUUUAAAAUCCCUCUAAAAAUGGUUUUCAUGAUUUCUUAUUCUAUUUUUCUUCCUCUCUUCUUUACUGAAGGCAAAAUUUGUGAAAGAUUCAGUGUUGGAUGGACAUGUCUACCAGGCAAAGACAGCAGCUAGUGUUCAUCACAUCUGCAGUCCGACUCUGGCAGGAUCAGGACUCGGAUGGCCAGUGCCUAUGGGGCUGAGAGUGAGGAGGGACCUGGAACCUCAUGGGGACAGGAAAAGGUCAGACAUGUGCUACGCAUCUUGCAGAAAUUCUCAGAGUCUUUUGGAAAAUCAUUUUUUGAAUGUGUGAUGCAUGUGGGAUUCAGGAUCUGGCCCAAAUUUUUUAAAAGAUCCCUAAUCAAUUAGUUGUCUUUUAAUGUGUAUAUAGUCCUUGUGGUACUGUAGCCUGGUUCAAGGGAUGUCAAGGUGGACGACUUCCUUCAUCACCAGUAGUCAUGGUGAGCAAAAUGUGCUAAUGGAGGGCUGUUUAUUUUCAAGCCAAACAUAAAAUAUUAUUUCUUCUAUCAUUGUGUUCAAGGUCUUGUAAUUGUAGUCAUUGAUUACCAGUGGGUUACGCUUGUGCAAUAAAUAAAAUACCAAGAAUCUAGAAAAGCAGAUCUGCAUAAUAAUAGAGAGAAAGAUGCUCAGGGUCUCUGUAGUUCAUUGGAAUAAAUAGAGGAAUGAAAAUGCCCAGUUGCACAGGGAAGGGCACUGCAAGGGUGAAGAAAAGAUUUGCAGUAGCAGCACUGACAGGAGGAUCGUCCCGUUAUUGAAAAUCUGGGGACGACUAUUAACUAUCAUCCUAACAAUUAAUUAAGUAUUUAGAAGGCAACUGUGUGUUGUGUCAGUGGUACACACAUAUGCUGGGUCUGCAAGUGAGUAUGAGCACUGUUGAUGAACUGUUUUAUUUCACUCUUUUGUCCAGAAAAAGAUACAUUUUCAAACCUGAUUUUUCUGCAAAAUAAUUCUGAUUCUGAGCCUUUUGUUUCCACAUGCUAUGUAUGUUAUUUUUUCUUUUCCCUUCAUUACAGAUUGGUUUUUAAAUGUCAGUGUAUCCACAGGAAAAAUGUAUCAGUAAUAGUAACUGCACUGAAAUGUGCCAAAAUUUUCAAUUCAAAACACUGUGUUUAUUCAUUAUUGACUCAUCAACUUAUUGCAGCUCCUGCUUUUUAUUGCACUUCAGAUAGAAACAUUUUCAAAAUUCAAAAUAUUUUGCAGAUGUAGGAAAAAUAUUUCAUCUCACAGUUUUAAAACCAUAAAGGUGAACCAAAACCAACUUGUUGUUUCUAUUAAAAAUUUCCCUUGAUAUGAAAUGUGUCCUCUGAUUCCAGCCAUGUGGAGUUUAUAUGAUCCAUAAGCAUAAUUCGGAGGUUGUAAUCUCUCUAUCACUAUUUACCUAAAGGCCUCAUGCCUAAAGCUUGUCUGCUUUCCCUCAUACCUCAGUCAGGCAAACAAAUUAAAUUUCUUUCUCUUCAUAGAAUCAUAGAAUGGCUUGGGUUGGAAGGGACCUCAAAGACCAUCUAGUUUCAACUCCCUGCCAUGGACAGUGUUGCCACCCACUAAAUCAGGCACCAGACCAGGCUGCCCAGGGCCCCAUGCAGCCUGGCCUUGGACACCUCCAGGGAUGGGGCAUUUUCUCUUGUACAGAUCUUGCCAGACUCCUAUCUUCAAACCCUUGUUACUUCACUAAUUAUGCUAUAAUAAGUAUUAUGAAUAUUCAUUAUGCAAUUUAAGUUUAAAAAGUGUUGUAAUACAUCACUGGAGACCUUUCUCUGGGCAUCAUUCUGGGCUCCAGAGGAAAUUUUAUGUGUUCUCUUGAAGUUCCUGGGCCAUUCUUAUGGCUAUUUCUUAUUAAUUAAGAUUUCUAACUGUAAACAAAAUUAUUAAGUGUUCCCUUAAGUGAGCAUCAUUCAAAUUUUGAAAAAUGUACUUUGAAAAAUAUAAAACACAAGCACAGGAGAGAGAAAACAGCUCUUAGAAAGGGUAGAUAAUGGCAGGACAAGGGGAACUGAUUUUAAGUUGAAGGAGGGAAGAUUUAGGUUGGAUAUAAGAGGAAAGUUCCUUACUGUGAGAGUGGUGAGGUGCUGGAACAGGCUGCCCAGAGGGGCUGUCUAUGCCCUGACCCUGGAGGUGUUCAAGGCCAGGUUGGAUGGGGCCUUGGACAGCCUGGUCUAGUAUUAAAUGUGGAGGUUGGCAGCCCUGCCUGUGGCAGGGGGGUUGGAGCUUGAUAAUCCUUGAGAUCCCUUCCAACCCAAGCCAUUCUAUGAAAACACAAGCUAACAUAGGAAACUGCAUGCCACCAUACACCCUCUAAUGCUCUUUGAUCUGAAGACCCCUCACAGUUUGAAGGAGAUGGAGAAGAGCUUUCAAGAAAGGAGGCUAGAAGAGACCAGUUGAGGGCACUUUGGAGGAUGGGGAGAGGAAAUUGGGUUUUGGAGAGAGAGAGAGGGGAGGUGAAUGUGAGGGCUAUGAGGAGGUUUCAGGACACUCCAUGAGACAAAGAAGGAAUGGAAUUAGGUAGCACAGGGAUGUUUAAUGCCUCUGGAGCAGAGUUGGGUGGGAUCCUUAAGCAAAUCCCCAACCAGAUCCCCCACCAUCUCUAAUCAUUUGGGAGCCAGUGCAACCUGCCAUGUCCCUAAACUACCUCUCAAUUAACUCCUCCACCUACAGUUCACACUGCUGCCAACGUCAAUGUCUCCUAUUUGCUUCUUCCAGAAGAGUCAGGUCCUGUUCCAUGGAGAAACAGAAGGAAUUAGAGUAUCCUCCUCUCAACAAAGACAGUUCUUCCAUUUCAUGGAAAGAGGAUGCACCACUGCUUGCUUCAGUCUGCUAUAAUACUUGCAGAAAUUGCCUACAUCAUCUACAUUCAAAGCCUGCUCUGUAAUGGGCAGUGGAUAUCACUUAUGUAAUUAAGCAGAGGUAAAUAAACAUGCGUAUGGUACGCAGUUAAGCUAAUCAUCCCAGAUUAUCAGUACAGUCAGUGAGGACAUAGACAGGCUAUGCAUAGGAAUCUUGAGUGUGAUUCGUCCUCCUUAAGUAAAUGUAUACAGUAGGUCAGGAAAACUGCACCCUAAAAACACUUAUUUCUCUUCCUUGCCUAUAAGGAGAGCCCAGAGUGAUUAGCACAGCUGUAGAUAUCUAUUCUGUAGAUGCUGAAAGAGAAAUGACACAAAUUCCACCCUGAUGUCUGCAAAAACAAAUGAAGUUUGCCAUAAUGGUGGUGGUUGAGCUGUGGCUUGCAACGCACAACAGGAAUAUGUGGAGAUGCUUCUAGCUUCUCCUUGAUCAACUCUGAGCAUCAAUAGUUUGCAGAGGUGUCUCAGGGCACUUGUUGCUAAAGUCAUAAUUAGUCUGUUGGUAAGGUGGGACACAAAUCAGAUUUAGAUUCCUGAAAGAGAUGCAGCUCUUACAUUGUGGAGGAUAAAAACAGAACAUUUAAUUGCCAAAUGGACAUAUGAAUAUGUCGAUCAAAAAACUUUUUUUUUUUUUUUGGGGGGGGGGGGGGAAGUAAAAAGUUAUGUCUUAGGUGGAGGAACAACUGGCUAAUCCUUCAUAGAAUCAUUAUCCUAGAAUCAUAGAUUCAUUAAGGUUGGAAGAGACCAAGAUCAUCUGCUCCAACUGUCGACUCAUCCCCAGCAUGCCCACUAAAUCAUACCCCUCAGUGCCUGAACUCUUCCAGGGACAGUGACUCCACCACCUCCCUAGGCAGCCUGUUCCUAUGUGUUACUACUCUUCCUGAGAAUAAUUUUUUCCUAACAUUCAAUCUGAACCUCCCUUGGUACAACUUAAGGCCAUCACCUCUCAUCCUAACUGCUGUUACCUAGGAGAAGAGGCCGACACCCACCUCACUACAACCUCCUUUCAUGCAGUUGUAGAGACCAAUAAGGUCUCCCCUGAGCCUUCUCCAGACUGAACAAUCCCAGUUCCCUCAGUCACUCCUCAUAAGACUUCCAGGAAUUUCAAAGGCCGAAAGUCUCGGUGUUAGCAUUAGGAGAUACCAAAAUGAUCUGACCAUGUAGGGAUGCACCUUGUAGUUGUAUCAUCCCCAGUCUGAGGAGUUGGGGCCAGUGUGGAUACCCUUAUUCCAUCUCACCAAAUGAAGAGCAAAAUAGAAAACCAUUCAUGCUGACUUGCCAGCUACUGCCUUUCAAGUAUCAUUACACAUUUCACAACAAUCUUCUCCUUUUAUAAGUACAAUCACUUGUGGCUCUGGGAUCUACCUACCAACUGCUCUUUAUUCAUCAUUUCUCCAGCAACUCAUACCUUAACAACAUUACACCAGAGCAGAGCCUGUCUGUGGCUCCACACAGAGCUCGACAAUGUCCUGCCUACAUGUGGAUGGAUGGAGGCAGUCAGUAAGAAGCAACUUUAGGCACUGCCUUCUCCCUGGGAACUACAGGCAUUGACUCUGGAGCAUAUCCCAGCUCUUGCCAGCACAGUAAGCAAGAGAUUUCAUCAUAAUCAUUUUAAUAUCUUUCAAAUGUUGCAUGGACAGAUAGCAGUCCAGGAAGAAUAUACACUAGAGGGUAGUCAGGGAGCGUGAUUAGUAUUGGAAACAAGUAUUUUUCUUGGCAGAGGAUGAGCAUGCCAUUUGACAGAUAGCAAAACACGGCAAGAAUGCUGCUCAGUAGUAGCAAAUGCCAAACAUUCUCUUGUGUACACCGAAGAAACUGAGUUUUGUUUUGUCUUGUUUUGUUUUUAAGCAUAGGGGAAGGGAGGGGGCUUACCACUGUCUGCAGUAGCACACAUGGCAGUACCUGCUUCUACUGCACUGUGCUCACAGCAGCUGGGAGCAUUUUCCAUGUGGGAUGGUUCUUCUCCCAAACCAAUCUAACAGGGUUAAUAAGCAAUCUGAAAAUACUGACUGGGCUUUAAUUUCUGCUGGUGGAGAGCAAACCAUUACCAUUACCAUCUUUCACACAUACAUGCAUCUCAUCUUCUGUAUCAGUGUCUGUCAGCUGUUGAAGUCAGCCAAGAAAAAAUGGGAUUAUUUCUGAGCAGUCUGGACUUCUGAGAGCCCUUUAAAUUAAAACAAAGCUCUAUGUCAACAAAGUUUUAUUUUGGUAUGUUUUACUCCAUUGCCAUAUACUGCAGAAUAAAGUGUUUGGGUGUCUAAAGAGAAAGUUAAACAGUAAUUAUUUAAUUUUCAGAUUGUCUCUGGUAGGCAUCCAGGGCAAUGAGAUUUUGAUAAAUAUUUUAUAUGGAUUUUUACAGAAUGUGUAUCAUCUGCUCUUCUAUAUGGAAGCAGACAACUUCUUGUCUGUGGUGCCAAUGAUUUUAACCUAAGUCACAGCUUGACAGGAUAGUUUUUUUAGAAAAAAAAGCACCAGGAUAAAAAAUCAUCCCUCGGCCUGGGAGAGUGAUUUUCCACUCAGGUGCAAUGCAGCUUCUCAGAGUCACUCAGGCAAAGGCUCUGCAGUCCUGAACUGGCCUGGUUUCCUCAGCUGUGGCCUUUUUCUUAUGAGAGGACAGCUGAUUGCAUGACCCCAUGAAACACAAUUUAGUGGAUAAAUCUGGAAGGCAAAACAAAUCCUUGCUUUUGAACCAAGCCCAAGAUAAACACCUGGGUAAAAGAAGAGCCAUCACACAGCUUUUCACAGAACCAGCUCUUCCAAAGUUUGGACACAACACUUUUCAUUCUUCAUUCAUUUCUUAGGGCUUGUGAAAGUAGAAGUGUUUUCUUCAGCUCUUGAUUUUACACGUUCAGUCAUGCUACCUGCUAUGCUUGGAACAAUCUUGUACAUCCUUUCAUGAAAUCUCCUCCCACCUCUCCAUACAAUGCAUUCCCACAGCAGUGCUGCCUCUUCUUUUCCUCUAAGGUCACUGCUCUCCCUAGAAUUUGGGCCAGCUGUUACUCCUGUGGCGUUGUUCACUUUCUCCAGAUUACCCUGUGUACUCCUCAGGGAUGAAUACCUUACUACACACUGGAGAAGCAAACUGAAGUCCAACCAAAGUUAAUGGCAAAAUUCCCAUCAACUUCAACAGAGCCAGGAUUUUGCUCAAAGUAUUCAAAUGAGUCCUUCGCUGGGCGUCUGUGAUGCAGAUAUUUCUGUGUCCAAGGGCAAAUUGUAUCUCCUAUCUACAUGUAAAGCAGACCGGACAGCUAAUAUUUUCAGUGUAGUAUUUCUGUCUAAAAUAAGCAAUUUUGUCUGAUAGCAAUAUAGAAUUUUAUAUAGCAUGUAAAAGCCUGAUUAUAUAAAGCUUUUUGUUCUUUUUUUCCACUUCAGUUGGCAAAUAUAUAUUUGCAGAUAUCUUAUCUAUAUGUUGCUGUUUCCUUGAGCACCUCAAACAAUAAAUCGAAACAUGCCUCAUGGUAACAUUGUUGGGUAUUUUUCUCUCACCCACAUACAUACCUACAAAGGUUUAAAAUACAACUUUUGAAAAGAUUCAGGACUGAAGGGGGAAAAUAAUCUUAUUAUGCAACAAUUAAUUGUCCUGCCAAAUGUGGGUGCCUUGGAAGCUUGAACAACCCGCCAACACACCUGUGUACAUUGGCAUUAAGUUAAAUCAAUAACAAAAAAAAGGCCCGCAGCCAAUUACCUGUCACAUGGAGAUUCAUUUUAAGUGGAGGUUUUACAAGCAUAACUUGAAUCAUAUCAUACUUACAAGAUAGUCCGUAUAUGAUAUUUACAAAGAUAUUUGAAUUGAGAAUAACAUUGAACCAAAAAGCUGUGUAUUACAAUGUCAUUAAGAAGCAAUCAACAGCCACAGUAGCAAUUAAUUUUCUGUCACAACAGAGAACAGUAAUUUACCAAAAUACAGAUAGGAGCAAAAAGAAAUGUGUUUUCUCUAAAUUGCAAUUUCUUGUAAUUAUUAUCAUACAUUAGGCCAGGAAAAAUGUCAUUUCCUACUUCCUGUCUUUCACUGUCUUGAUAUAUAUGCCUCACGUAUGCCCAUUUAUUGCUUUGUAAUUAUUUUCCAAAUAGUUCUUUGGUUGUUUAAAAACAGCUCAGCCUUAUUUCUUGUAUUUUUUUCCAGUAUAUGAAGAAAUUACAUGAUUACUAUUUCCUCCUUUACAGUGAUUGCCAAACCAGGUUCAUGAACGUAACAAUCAUGCAGUAUGGAGUAAACAGGAGUCAGAAGCACAGUUCUGUCCCUCUUCCAGUUCUGCCCAUCAAGGCACAUCAGACAUCAAGGAUGGUCUCGUAGGUAGUUUUCAUAAUGGGAAAGGACCUAAUAGUGGUAACAAAGCCUUGAUGUGCAAGAUGCUGUAUGAAUCUUCAGCCCCCAUCCAUUUCAGUAGAUGUUAAAGGUGCAAAGUAUUUGGCCUAAUUCAUCAACUUGUCUUUCUCUACUUACUUCUUCACCACAGAGUAACUCAAAAAGUCACUGUAGGUUUUGAGUUGUUCUCUGCAGUCCUGUAUUCUAGAUUCUAUUUUUUUUUAAGGUAUAUUCAUUUAUUAGUAUGAAUCAUGGUCAAUUUAAAAAGCUUUCAUGUUAAAGACAGUACUCAUAAAAUCUAUAAUGGAUAUUUCAUCCAUUUUCCAAGAAUUCUGAAGAUCAUUUUUUAAUCAUGAUGAAUCAACAGCUCCUUCUGACACAGCACUGUUUCUCCACCAAGGCCAUUGCAUGGCAUGCAGGCAUGCUGUCAGAGCAGAACCAGCUUCAGGAUGUGCUAUGACUUGACCUGCCUGCAAGAGAGGAUAGAACAUCCUGUAACUUAAGAACUCUUCCAGCAAUCCUCCAAUUGUUUCAAAAUUAUUUGAUAAAAAUGCAAUUUAGGUCCUCUUGAGGUUCAUCUUAUAGGGAAAUAUACCUUUACAUUAAUACACUGGUAUAAGGCUAGAAUGUAACAGAUGAGAACUGCAGUUGUUCUAACUACUGUAAUGUUUUGUGAGCUGGGAAGAUUUCAUUCCACUUCACUAUGAAUUUGAUCAAGUUAAAUUUCAGUAAGAAAAAUGAUGGUAACAUAAUGCCAAAGAUCCAUUAAACAAGAUCUUACUGCACUAAGUGUUGCAUAUAUUGAAUUAAAAGAUUGCCUUACUGUUGUGGUUUAACCCAGCAAGUGGCAAAGCACCACACAGUCAUUCAUUCACUGUUCCUCUUCCAAGUGGGAUUGGGGAGAGAACUGGAGUUGCGCCAGGGGAGAUUCACGUUGGAUAUUAGGGAAAAUUUCUUCUCUGAAAGAGUGAUCAGGCACUGGAAUGGGCUGCCCAGGGUGGUGGUGGAGUCACUGUCCAUGGAGGUGUUCAAGAAAUGUUUAGAUGUUGUACUGAGGAACAUGGUUUAGUGAGGAAAUAUUGGUGGUAGGUGGAUGGUUGUGCUUGAUCUUGGAGGUCUUUUCCAAUCUUAAUGGCCUCAAUGACUAUGAACUAUCAUUAAAAGUGACACUCAGGAGAACAGUUCCAACUGUUCACAAACAUGUUUUCCCUGUCAGACUUGAUUUUCUAUAUUUCCAUAAUUUUUUACCAUAAACUCUGUGUUUUAUAAGAUUGUCUGUAUAUUUGAGGGUUCUCUUCUGAAGAUGUUAUUCCAGAAUGGUUUUAUUCUUUAAAUAUUAAGGUGAAGAGAAUCAAAGAUUUUACACCCUUCCUCUCAAGCUGCCUUAUUCUUCAAAAAAUGUUUAGAAUUGCAUUAACAUCUUGUAAAACUAUAACAUUAGCAGCUAGAAGUCAUUGUUAAAGCUUGAAGACACUGUCAGUGAAGUCACAUUAAUUAAUGUUUCCUGUGUUAAUGUAUCUAAAUCUUAACUGUAAUUGAGUAGUUACAUCAGCUAGGUUGUCCUUUUUACUUUUUCAGACCUUAAGCAGUAUUGAUGAGUAUUUCCUGUUAUCUGAAUAACAAUAUACUCCAGGAUUGUAAAGGUAAUGUGUCCAUUAGCAGUAAGUCUCUCACUGGCCCUUACAGCUCCCACAUCCUCGUUGGAAAACAGGGCCACAGUCCUGAAGACCUGAGGCUGUUUUAAGCUCCUCAAAUAAAGACGUUUCUCUCAAAGCAGAGUUAGAAGCUGAAGAUAACAGAGUGCAAUAGGACUUGUGAAAAGGAUGUCAGCAAUGUCAGUUGUCAUGGUUUCAGGUCUGAGAGAACGUUAAGUUUCUGAACUUGUUCUGUUAUCAGAGCCACUCUCAGUUCCCCAUUUAUUGCCAAACUAUGUAGACUCAGAGAAGCUGGAAACAUGAGGGACCUGUCUGGCAUCUGAGUUCAGACUCUUUCAGGAAUGCUCCAUACCUAAGUUUCCAAAACAUACCAAGUGCUAAAUGGCUUCAUCCAGGGACCCUUGAAGCCACUGAAGUGCAAUGUAUCAUUGAGGUGCUUUUCUCGUCCAAUAAUUCUAAUUUUUGUAGAGUUACUUAUAAGGUCUUGCAUCUGCAAAGCAGAAAAAAAGAUUGAGAAAACUUUAUUUCCAAAAAUUAAAAAUUAAAUAAAGGUUAAUUUAAUAAAGGUGAUCGUAUUUCAAUUAAAAAAAAAAAAAAAAAAAAAAAGUACAGUUCCUUUUCACGGUUUUAACAUCAGAAAUGUUUAAACAGCCAACACCUCCCAACCAGGUAUCUUUUUUGAAGCAUCUAUAUAUUGAACAAAAUAGUUAGGAGUUAUCAUAUCUACUGCGACCUAGUAGUAUUUUUGAUACAGGAUUUCAGAUCAAUUAACAGAGGGUCACAGAGUGAGAACUACUUAAGAGUGUGUCCCAGGUAGGGCACUGCCAAUGGCACAAGCCAAGCAGAACGCAGGAAUUCAUCCUUGAGAUCCAACUGGAAGAUGUCAUUGAAAUGCCACAAGUUCUGUCUGCCAGACUUCAAGUUGACAGGAUUGAGAGCUUCCCUCUUUGGAAAAAAAAAAAAAAGACAACAGAUAAAGAUGCCUCAGUGGAAAUAUGCCAGGUUUCUAUGCAAUCACUCACCUCGUCAAGCUGGAAUAAUUUCCACAUUGCUCCAUCAUACAUUGACUCGAAUUACACUAUAACUUUGAAAUCAACAUUUUCUAGUUGUCUCCUUGAAAACUUCUCAAAAUGAUCUUCUUAUCCUUUCUGUUUUCUUGCAUUCUGAUGCUGAUUUCUUGCAUUCAUCUGAUGCUGAUUUCUUGCAUUCUUCUGAUGCUCAUCGUAUUUGGAGUACAGUAUCAGCUGCAACUGAGGAUACAAACCGAUACAUAUACUGACUACAGAUAUGUUUGCAUUUACACUUGUGUAUGCGUACUGCAUUGCAGUGGAAAAAAAAAAAAACGUUUACUUAAGUGAAAUUGGUAUUACUCUGUUCUCAUAUGGCUAUGCAGAGGGCACGGUUACCUUCCAGUGGGAAAUAGAUACCAUAGAGGCAUUUAACAUCAAGCAGUUGACGGUGAAACUACACACGCUUUCAUAUAAAAUGCCACGGAACUAAGUUACUGCAUUCUUCAAUAUUCUUCUCUGAGACCACUUCUAACUUUUAUGAUCCCUCUAAUUCAAACUUAAGUAAUAGAGAAUGUGUCAAUACAACUUUCCCUUUAAGUAUUGCUAAGGAGCAUGCAGGAGCCCACAUGUUUGCUUAACUGGCCCUGCAACCAACACUGCUAACAAUAAAACCAGAAGUUCAAACCCAGUUCCUUGCUUUCAAGUAUGCCCUUCAAACAGAAAAUACCAGUUUGUCAUCCUUCUAAAACAAAGUGCAUGAUAACCAGGAAUAAAUCUAACGUAUCUACCCCAUCAUUUUACUGACUUUUUUCAACACAUACUUUCUACCAAAGGUAACAGCUACUCAUGGCAUAUAUGCGUGUGCAUUGGUAAGCAUGCCUCAGAGACAUACAACCUCCCCCACCCUGCAUUUUCAAGUGCUAUAACACACUGCCUGCUUCCUAGUCCUGCAAAUACCCUUGAAGUGGAAUAAUGUUUAACAGAGGGCAAUACUGCUGGAGAACUGCCAAAGAAAUGAAGGGUGAGGGAAGCCAGUCAAGGCAUUCUGAUGAAUAUUUUUGUAUCUCCAAAGACACAACUAUUAUGCAAACAUUGACCUGUUUGUCAAGCAAUCACAGUUUACUAUUGCUUAAAGGUCACAGAAGUUUCUAAGAUUAUUAAAUAAUGCAUGGAGCCAAAGACCAAGGAUAUUAUUUAAACAGUGGAGGUAACUUUUGUUAGUGAAGGACAAUACGAUGACAAUGCCCCUUUAUUUUCCCUUGAAAAUCUCUAGAGUUUGCACUGUAAUAUAGUAAUGGCCCGUUUAAGCUGAAAGAAGGAACUCUGCUGCGGAAAUGUGGCUCAGUACUACAAUAAAAUAUUACAUGCAUUUUUCUCCCCCUUUCUCUACAUUUGUUGGUACAUGAUUUAUGUUUUUCUACAGGCCUUUCUCUGGUGCUAGGGAGCAACAGUCUCUCCAGCAGUCUAUACACAUAUAUUUGUGAAUGCAAUGAUCAGUCCCCAUUUGUCUUUCCAAUGUGGAUUAUAAUCCAGUGCAAAAAUUGUUUUGCAACAAUUGAGAGUAUGUGCUGUGCACACAUAAACAGGAAUCAGCAGAGGUUUGCAAAACCUAGUAUCAACUUUGUCAUCUGUUGAGACUGCUUCAUGAUAAGAAAUCCCACACUUACAGUUUCCCAAAGGCUGCAGUCCCUUCUAUUCUCACUAGGCCUUCCAGGUCAUCUCUUCAUGGUCUUCAGAUAUUCCCAAACUCCAGCUAGGUGAGUGAUCCCUUCCAAUGCAAAGAAUUCUGCUCCAUGACCUUCAGUUUCCAGGUAGCUGCCCUUUUGACAGAGACCCAGAAGGAUACAUUUCCCCCAUUUCACCAAGCAGCUACCAAGUUGUUCUGAAAGCUGCAGUGAGCUGGCCCUGGGAUCUUCAUCAGAAACUACAAGCAGAUAAUCUCAAAGGUUUUGUUCCAUCUCAGAAAUAAUCAGUAGUUCCCUCUACAUUUAUAAAGCACAGCUCUGUAUAAACUGGAAGAUAAUGGAAGUGAAGUAUUAAUGACAGAAUUUCUGAUUUAAACAAAAUGAAUAAAAAAAGAAUAGCAGUCAUGAAUUUGGGUGGAUUCUAGCACUCAGUGUUUUUUUUUCUUCUUGGUGGUACUUGGCUACUGUUGCCUCAUUUUUAUGAACAUUUAUAUUUGGAAGACUCCCCAUUAUCAUUCUGCUUGGUUGCCAACAGCAAAAGCCAUAACGACAGGUCCAAGAAGGGACAGAGAAAGAAGAACAUUUGGAGGCCAACAGAGAACUAAAAUUUCAGUUUCAUUCAUCAUGAUCAUGAAUAUGCACUCCCAUCAAAACAUUUAUAGGUGACUUACAGUAAUAUGAAAGACACCUAGCUGCCAAGAAACCUUUGGUCAUAUCACAGGGCAACCGAGGUUAUCAUCAAGAACAAAAACUAAUCUUAAAAAAAAAAUCCAAUAAAAAGACAAUAUCUCUGGACAAUUAUUUCACAUGACAAAUAUCACGACUUCAUAGAAUAACUCAGUCAUUCCAAGAAGCACUAUUUCUCCUGGAAAUCCAGAUGAAGUGAUUUGUGGAGUGGGAGGUACCUAAUAAAGCCAGUGGAAGUGUUGGCAGGGAGUUUAAUGGCACAGCACCAGAAUGACACUCCUGACCUUACAGUUUAAGCAAGAUGCCUUCAGAGGAAAGAGAAGAAAGAGCCCGUUAUUAAUGGAGUUGACAGAUACAGAAUUAAGCCUGAUAAACCCAAACUACAUUCUUCAGAGUCACCUUCCCACUGAAAACUUAUGGGCAUUUGAAAUUACAUGCAGUAACUUCAUUUCUUAUCCCAAGAGGAGGUGAGUAUUCGUUUGUAUACCCUGGAGACUCUUCAAAUAAACCACUGCUCAGGGCACUGUCUGCCAGACCCACCUUCCCUAUGAUCUAGGGGAGAAAAGCAUCAAAUGAAAGCCAGAAAGUUCACCCAUCUGGAUGCAACCUGCACGUACUAAAGUGGGCAUGUCUGUUCUGUUAGCAGAGAUCCCCAGCUCCCAGCUCAGUGCAGCGCCAGGAGGAGACGCCAUGCCAGGUCAUGAAGCCAGAUCUGUAUUCAUAGGCUGUUGAACCCAAAUAAGAAAUCCUCUCUGUCCACAUUCAGCAGUAAUACAUGGCAUGCACCCAGUGUGCUCAGGUGGAUUAUACAGAUGUGUGCAGUACCUAAACCAUGCUGCUGCCAGCUCUCCAUGGCAACUCAUUUCAGCAAAGACAGGGACACUUGUAGGAAAGCAAACUGAUGCAGGAGAAUUUAAUAAGUCUUGAGCCUACAUGAAAAUAAAGCCAAGCUUUCCUUAUCCUGUCUUGUCCUCACUGUUCAAUAAAAAGAAUGCAAGAAAAAAAAGCAAUCUGUAGAGUAUAAAUCAUGACUUGAUAAAUGUAGGUCCUUAGAAGCCAGUUGUGUAAAUACAGAUACACCUGCAGGCCCUGAUAACCAGAUUAGCAGCAACAGCUGCCAGACCAUGCAGCAACAACCAAGAGAUAUUGUUGUGUCCUGGCCAACGAAGUUUCCAGAUUGACUCUCAGGUGCUUCCCGUACAUCACUGUUAGUGAGAGCAAUGCAUCAUGAAAGUAGAUGAUCUCCAUUGAUCUUGAAAAUGUAACAUUUUUCUCUUUGAAUGUAUACAAUGCAGUUUGACACUCGCACUAGUUCACAGUACCUCCAGUGUACAAAGGGAUGAGACUUUGUCUGCUGGCAGCUGGGAAGAAUAUCUGAACAGGAAAAAAGAAGUUGUGUCUGGGUUUGGUAUGACCUCAUGUUAAAUAGUAUAUCCUUAUUGGGUAAAUAUCCAUAUCAACUGAUUCAUAGGUGUCCUGCCUUACCUGUUCUUAUUGAAAAUUAGAAUCUAAAAUUAACAAUUUUUCUUGGCAAAGCUCCACUUGAAUUACAUGAAAAAAUCUGAUGAUCCUCAGAGUGACAAGAAGUACAAGCUAGAUCUAGAAAUAUACACAGGCAUAGACAGAGGGGAAAAAAAAUCUUUUUGUCCCUACCAACAAAUCUAACAUCAGUGGUUCUAUCUCAGCACUGCUCUUGUUAUUCUUCCUAGAAAUAGAGAUAGUUCAUAGACAAUAUAAUAAAAUUUAGGUGCUUGUGACCCACUGAGACUGUUGAGCCAGGCCUUCCUUGGUGGUACAGUUCCACUGGGGCUGAGGCAGUGGUAGAGCCAGGGCUGAUAACAUCAUCCACUGGCAGCCCCCAACACAGCAAGCCAUCAACCUGCCAUGAGCAGAAGGAGGUGGGCCCAGAGACACUGCUGUAGGGCAGUUCUCCUGCAACAUUGCCAAAGCAAGACAACCAGCACCAGGCAGGACUGAAACAAGGCUCCUGGGCAUGGAAAGCAGUGGGUUGAGGCUCCCACUAUGAGUAGUAUCCUCAGGAAAAUCCUUUAUAGGAAAGUGUUUGAAUACCUUUAUAUCCAAAUUCAUGUGAUAAUCCUGCCCUAAAGGACUGGCAGGACUUAGGCAUGAACUAACCAGCCAAGAACUAGUCUUCCACCACGAGUAUCGGGUCUAGACUAAAAAGCCUGUGUUUCUACUCAUUUCUAAUGAUUCAAAUGACUCCCUUCUUGACAAGAAUAUCUACUGCAACCAAAAACAGUGAAAACUUGAUAUAAGUUGAAAUGUUGACUGUAUAGUUAAUAUGGACUGAACACCUAGUCAGAUCAAAAUAACUGAAAUAAUUGAAGGGUUACUGUAUGCUGGAUGUCUCUUGUCUUUGUGAGUAGUGGAAUGGAUACUCUCACAGGCAAGCUGUGAGGCAACAAAUUCAGCCUUCACAUUUCCAGUCAAGAGGCACUGCACUGCAGACAGAACUCUGAAGAAUAAUUACUGAUUACUAAUAUACUGUGGAGAAAUUGCUUUAUUACAAGGUGCAUUCUAACAUGCUGUAAAGAUGUACAAAAAAAAAAAAAAACAAAACAAAACAGAAAAAUUAAAUACUUAAAAGAUGAUUCUAGCUUGUUGUGGCCUGUUGCAAAGCAGUUAUAAAUUGGAGUACUUACAGCGGUUCAUGCAUGUCCCUGCAUGUUUGAACAGCAUAUCAGAGAAUUUAUUUAUCAGGGGAAAAAAAAGUCUCUGCUAAGUCAUUUAGUUCUUAAAAAGGUUCCUGUCAUUUACAGUUUUGCCAGAUUCUAUAAGGCGCAAUACCAGAUUGUCACAUGGGAAAGGCUUGCAGAUUCAAGUCCUUAUUCUUCCCUCUAGCGAGUACUGGAACGAACAAAUUUGGGACACAGAGGUUACGUCAAAGCCUUCCAACUCUUUGAAGGAUAAUUACCAUAGCUGCAUAAUCACAUGGUCUACCUUCCAUGCGUUCAUGUUAAGGAGAGGACAUUAAUCUAACUAACGCCCAGCGGCUGACAUUAUAUAUAUAUAUAUAUAUAUAUACUAUAGUUCUCUAUAAGAUAUAGCACACCACUUAACAGCUGCAGAAAACUCUUUACUACAUUCACAAACCCUUGAUGGAAAGAGCUGCUUAAUUCUUUUCAGACCUGUCAUAUUAGGUAAGAGUGUUCUGCUGCAGGAUGAUGAUGAUGCUAAUUGUCACAUUGUAUUGUUUCACUAGACAGCCUAGCCCACUACUUUAUUAUGGGUUAUGUAAGAGUUACAAGAGGUAGCCAAUAAACAGUGCACUAACAGAAUCAUUUACACUCUGAAAUGUUCAGAAGUACUCACAGGUAUGUCUAGAAGUCAUCUAAAACAACGCUUUGGUUCCAGGGGAUGGCAUGUGCUGAUGCUAUGAUCUAUGUAAGACUCUCCUCAGCAAACAAAUCACAAAGAAUGUUCCCGCAGCUCUUGGUGUCGGAGGCUUGGAGGAGCUCAUCCUCUUUCAUGUUAUGCAGUAUCCAAAGAGACUAUAGUGCAAUAUUCCCUUUUUCACUAUCUGUACAAAGGUUUUGGUUGACUGGCAAGGAAAUAAUGGAAUCAAAUGGCACAUAACAACUGGCCCUCUCCCAGCGCUUGUCCAUCUUCUUUCAGUCCAUUUGUGAAAUCAUAUGGAAAUCUCAGCAAUGUUGGGAUGUCCAAACAAGCAUGGUGAGCCUUUCAGUCCCUAUUUAAUAUAUUAAUGAUCAAGAAAUUGUGUCCUUUCUCACGUGGUUUGCAAAUCUUUACUGCUGUCAUUUCCACCGGAAAGUGGUAAAAUAUGGAAGUGUUUUGAUGGAGGGAGGAGGAAAAUCUUUUCAGAUACAGUGUAGAAACAAAUAAACACAAGACAUAGUUCCUGGUUUGUAACCAAAAUCAAUAGCCAUAUGCAGCAGGACUGAGGUCAAUUUAUGCUCCCAUGUUUCACAUAUUGACAAAAUCUGUAUUAUUGUAAUGCUGUGUUUUAUUAACCUAUGUCUAAUAAAGCUUAUACUUCAUUAAAAAGCCAUUUUCAAACAGAUUCUAUGCAUUUUAUUAAUAAAUAAAUUUUAUUACUUACUGUAAAAUCAGUAACAUAAAUAAAGUACAUUAAGCAUGUCCUUUUACCUACAGAAAACAUAUCACAACUAUUUUCCUCCAAGAUCUAAUUAGAUUAAGCUUUCAUUUUCAAAACAGAAGAAAAUACCUGGGGCAGAUCUGGCUAUAAGUCAGCACCAUACCUGUUGGCUUCUUUGUUUUGUAUUUUUGUUUAUUUGGUUAUUAUUUUACCAAGUAGCAAAUUUGCCUAUGUAAUAAACAAAAGGAGCCCUCUUGUGAUAGAGCCUACUCAAAAGUAAAAACAGAUACUCGUGAAAAUAUCAAAUGAUUAAUUUUUUUGCAUUUUUUAAACAAUUAAAUGGUGUUCAUUAAUAUUUCAUACUGCACAAAUAUUUUUAUAACCAUGCUUGCUAUCUCUGUAACAUUCAGAUAUGCCUGCAAAUGUUGAGUAGCCAUAGAUCCUAGAGUCAGGCUCUUUAUUACAUAUGCUUAUAACUAUGACUCAUAAACAAGUUCUAAACUAAAUGCAGCAUAUGCAAUUGUUGAAAUAGCACUUUGUUUGGGGGAAAUAGCGUCUUGAAUUAAUGCUAUGAUGGAAGUGUGAACUUGUAUAACAUAUCUGAGUUUCAAUUUCUUACCUUUAAAAUGGGAGAAUUAACUUCAAAUGCUGAGUAUAUCACUCUUGUAAGAGAUAACAAGUCUGGAAACCAAGGAGAGUCCACAGGGUCCUCAUUGUUGAAGCAGGACAAGAAAAUUAAUUUCCCUAGUAAUUAAUAUGUUGCCACUGCAGUAAUAGACCAACAUGACAAGGUGAAGGAUCUUAGUACGAAUAUGAUCCAACAUGAUGCUUGAGCUGCAUGUUGAAAGUAGACAUUGACAUUGAUUGUUUCAUUUCUGGGAGCCUAUCAUCCAUGGCCCUAAUUAACUGCAUUUGGAAAUCUGUGUGAGCUACCUAUGGAACAGGCUUUGUCUGUCCUUGCAUUUCUCCCUGAAUGGGGCUGCAAGGCUAAACUCUCUGGUUGCCUACUUUUACAGUGGGGACAGUUGCAAUACACAUGAGCACAUUUGAAUGGCUGCUUUAACCUUUUCAGUGAGGAGAAGAUGCUCAACCAUGAGACCUCUUGUGAAGAGGAGGCAACACGUCCCAUACCCAAUUCAUUUCACGGAGGUCAUCCAAGUGCUUUCACCAAAUUCUCUUAUUUUCAUUGUGACAUGAGAAGACAUUCUUAUUGAAGUGUGCUUAAAAGAAAGCAGUCCUUGAACUCUGGAGUGACAGAAUUUUGUCUUCGUAGUUCAGUGUGGUCUACUUAUUCCCUGUGAGAGCCGAAGCAAUGCAGGAAGCACACCUUUCCCUGCAACAAUAUGGGAGGGGCUGAUACCUGGGACCUCAGUGAAGCACAGGCUGAGUUUAUUCACAGUCCAGAUUUCCUCAUUACUCCCAUGUUAUCAUUAAUAUUUCAGAUCUCCUCAAAGUCAAAAUACCAGAAUAUCUUUGUUCUCAUGAGAAAUCCAACAGCUCCUGGGGGGAAAACGCUAUCUGGAGAAAAAUCCAGACUAGAAGUGUUUAGCUGAAAAUAAUCCCCACUUUCAUUUUAAUUUACUCAUAUUUUAAUUGGAGGGAAAGAGAUGUGGGAAAUAUUGGUGAGCAGUGAAAAAGGAAGAAAGGCAAAUUCUGUACACCAAUCACUGGAGUAAAAGGUCACACCAAGGGGCAGAAUUUCCCUUCACUACAGCUGAUAAUGUUCCUCUCUAUGGAAUAUCACGGGGAAAAAAAAUCCUAAAUUUCAGUGCUUUUCAGUGAAAAUAUUUGAUUCUUAGUCUCAAGAUUUAGACUGAGAACAGGAGGCAGUGAUGGAAUAAAUGAAAUGGAAAAAACCCUAUUAACACUCCAGGUCUCCUAAGAGUAGAAGUGACAGAACAGCCUUGUUCUUUUAAACAGAGUGCAGAGGACAUUUUAGCAGAAAACAACAACCAGCGAUAAGAUCCUAUUUGAGGGGCAUCAAUUUUCCCCUCAGGGCUCUACACAGAAAAGAACGUAACAGCACAUUUUACUCCUGCUGGAGAUGUGCUAAAGCAGCUGUCCAGUACUUGGAAUAGGAGGAAAAACUGUUCUUUGUUACUUCAGUCUUUCUCUAUAUCUGAUGCAAGUCAGAAUUCAACCUUUGCAAAAUCACAAGUUGUACUCAGCUCUGGAUUUCAGAGUUACAGACCAACUCCUCCAUCAAUUCCUAUUUCCACCAUUCCUAUUUCUCUUCGUCAUACACUGCACUGGUACCCUGCAAUCACAACUUUCCCACAGUACUGAACUUCAAACAGUAAAUCACACACAAUACCAAAGUCUCAUUGAAGAGAGGUUUCAACCCAUAGUGAAAAUUGGUCUCCUGUUUUUCUUAAAAACAGGAAUAAAUUAGUAUUUGCAAACUGACUAUAACACAUCUGUAGUAUUGAGAGCUUUGUAACAGCACCCUUCCAGAGAUCUACCCUGUGUGUGUCCUCCCUUACAUUUAAGUUUCUGAAGUGAGGAGCCGACAUCACACAAGCAAGGCUGGAAGGAGCCCUAUGACAUCACCUCUGCUAUCUUUCUUCCCCAAGGUAUCAAAAGAAGUAAUUUAAGGGCAUUCUGAUAGAUCAGAGAUAGCCACCCAUUUUGUUUGGAGAAAGUAUAUGAAAGCUUUCGUACUUCAGAAGACUAUAGAACAGGCUAGAACUUUCAGAGCAAUACUUCUAUUUUCUGGCACAUUUUUUUCUAACUCGGGAACUCUUUUCACAAGAGUUUUGAUCUCAGGUUUAUCAGGCAGUUGGGGAAGAAAAGAUAAGGACUGAAACAUUUCAAACUAACUGAAAGUAUCUGUGUAAGACUGAACCUAAGGGAAGAUGAAAACUCAAAAGUGGGCAGUUGUGUUCUUGUUUAUCCCAAUCUCACCACACCCACAUGGUAGCAAAAUAGGCCCCAUGCCGAGAAUUUGUGGCAAGAGCCUAUUGUGUGGGCUUGGAAUAAUUUAAGAAUUGACUGUCAGUCUGUUUCUUGGCUUCCAGCUAUGAAGUAAUGCUCUAAGUAGAGAGCGAUACUCUGAAGCGCUCAUUACAAUCUUUAAAGCUGUCUCAUUUUCAAUUAUGAAUAUUAAAAAGAAGUACUCAGUAAUUCCUGCAUUAUAAUUAAUAUUCCAACUUUUGGUGUGGCUUGUUGGUUUUUUAAGGUCUAUUUUUAAAGACACUCUCUUAACUUAUUCCGGAGUUAGUUCCCAACAACCAAAUAUUGUUCCUGUUUAUAUCAGUGGGGAAAGUCCCAGUGAAAAAACUAAUCAGACCGAAGUUAAUGAAAACAACACCCCCAUUUAAAACAAUGCCCUAGCCUUAAACAAUCUGCUCGCAUUGCCUACUUGUAUAAAAUUUUAUAGCCUGCAUGUUCCAACCUUAAAAAAAAAAAUCCUGAUUAUUUAUUUAUGCCCUUUUUGUUUAAGAAGUUAAAUCCCCAGAGCAUCUCAAUUUAGAUCAAAAGCAAGCUACCAAAAUUCACCUGGCACACCUGUGCCGUGUGAUUUCUUAAUUACUUGCCUAGCAUUCUCAGAGCUACAAGGCAGAGAUGCAGGGCUCGUUUAGCACAUAUUCAGAUCUCUGCAAUGAACCUUGUGUAACAGAGACUUUCCAGAGUGCCCGAGGUGGUAACCAGUGUUAAACGAUCCCAUAUCUCCACAAACACUUGCAUUUCAGCAAUUUGCUUUCUCACAGGUUUCAGAAGACAGAGAGCUAUCUUGGGGUGAGUAAUCUGGGGAAAUAGAUUGAUUUAUUUAUGAGUUUCUUGAUGAAGGUUUUCCCCGGCUAGUGAGCAGCAUGGUGUUCCUUGCGCCAGUAGAGCCUUCUCAGUUCGAAGCGUAGAAGUAGGCCUAUUAAUUAUGAUAGCCACAGGUUGUUAUUACUUACAUUUAUGAUGCAACACCCUAGGAACCAAGGGAAGAGUUUGGCCAUUUCUGUUACACCUCAGACAAGUCUUCAGUUGACAGUCAUGGACAUUAACCUAAAAAGAUGUACUCAAAACAGGAGCAUGAGGUAUGGCACAAACAAGGCUCAUCUGAGGGAGCACACCCCAAGUUUUUGCUGAGACACUUCUUCCUCUUGGCUACAGGAUGUUUCUACACAGUGAUGAGAAACUGAGUUCACAUGUUAGAUGUGACUGCUGCUAUGCUGAUAUGCACGACUGACCAUUGAUAUGCCCCUUGUCUAGCCAGAGAACAUGCACCACUUGGAUGUAGAUGGGCUCAAAUUCAUGUUCAGUUUGCACGUACACUGACAAUUGUGUACAUGCAGGAGAAGAUCAAUCAUGUCUUAAACCUCCCUAGCACUGAGCACUCCUAGCUGUGUGUCUUCAUGCACGCAGUUUUAUAUUUUAAUAGGAUAGUCACGGUAAUUUGUUCUUUACAAGCGGUUUGGAUAGCAAUUAGGCAUCAAAUAUUACAGCUGCUUCUUUGGCUAUUUGUCAUUAGUGUAAUUUCAUUAAUUGGACAAAGCAUUGACUCUGUUAACCUGAAUAUAAUUUAAACUGCUGAAAGCUGAUGGCAUCUCUCUUGGUACAGUGAAAAUACACUGCUCUGUCAGAAAGCUAAAGGCAAUUAUUACUAUUAAUAGUGCAUGCUUCCACAGCACAAAGAAACUUCAGUGCCAUCAGGAUUCCUUACAUGCAAGAGAUGAAGCAGUUGACUUGAAUCACGCACAAGAUGAACAGAUGCAACCUGUGAUCCCUGCUUUAUCAGCGUGUCAUUCACUGUGACCAUUAAUGGACACAGAAAACAUUCAAUUCGAUAAUGUGUCUUUUCAUGAAAGAUUUUAGGAGAAAAUAUUUUCAGUUGUUUGCUUCAAAAUUCAAUUUUUCAUUGAGAAACAUAUCCAUUGCCAAGAAUAUUGCCAAAAAUUGCCAAAAAGUCCCAAAUGAAACCAGAGAUGCUGAAAAGGCUCUGCGCAAGAUCUGUUUCAAGCAAAUAGAAGUCUCUUUUGGCAACACCAUUCUGAUUUGAUUACAGGAAAAGACAAGCCAGUAAAUUUUAAUUUGUAGAUUUGUAAUUUGUUCAUAAAAAUUUCAAAUAAUUUUGCAAGGAAGAUUGCCGUGUAUCUUACAGAUAAUACAAAAGAGAUCUUCAGGUACACUGAGAUUCGGUUGAUCAGGAUACUAAUUACUAAGCUACAUUUAAUUUCAAAAUUUUAAAAUGCUUGAAAACUCAACCAAUCAUCUCUGUUCCUUGAAAACACAUUGUUUUUCAGAAAUAUUACAGAAAAUCUGGGAUAUGGAGAUAUUUUUAAAGGUUGUGCUUCAUAACAAUGCAUUUCCCAGCUUCCUCUGUGCAAUAAAAAGGUAAACUAAGUUAUCAACAAGAAAUCUAUCUGCUAAAAGUUAAUAACAAACAUCUGCUGGUCUCCUGGGAGAGACAGUGGAAAAUGGGUGGGAAUUUCCAGCUUUAAGCAGCCACUCCCGCAAUGUUCAAGUCAACAGAAAAACCUGUCAGUAGAAGGUCAGAGUCAUUAGGAGAUUUUUUCCCCUGCAGAGAAAUAGAUCAGAUACCCAUAAUUUCAGAGACAUUAUUUAGGAUUUUACAAAGUUCUCACAUUAGCUGAAGCUCUUAUGUAAAGCCUACCUUUCGGAGCUACAUCUUAAAGGCUUAUAAGACCACCCUGAAAGGUGCAAAGAAGACACGAACAAGCUCUUGUCAGUGGUGCCCAGUGCUAGGACAAGAGGUGACGGGUGCAAACUGGGGCACAGGAGGUUCUCCCUGUCCAUCAGGAGGCACUUCAGUGCUAUACAGGAGACAGAGCACUGGCACGGGGACACAGAGAGGGUCUCCUCUUUGGAGAUCUCCAAAAGCCACCUGGAUGUGGGCCUGGGCACCCUGCUCUGGGUUGUCCCGCUGGAGCAGGGAUGGGCCAUAUGACUCCAGAUACCUCUUCCAACCUCGGCCAUUCCACGAUUCUGUGGCUAUAAGCAAGCAAAGGUCCCAAUCCACAAAAGAAUACAGUUUAAAAAGAUUCCUAACAUCAGCAAAGUCGAGACAAUAUGUAAUGUCCCAUAUGUUCAUGAUCCUAAGCCCCUUGCACUAUCUUAGGUAAUGCUCUUUUAGUGUCAGAAAUGUCUCAUUUGCCAAUCACUAAGAAUACAUACAUAAGCCAUUAUUUCUGUUCAGUUGAUUCAUGGUCAUUUGUUAGAUUACAGUAAUAUGAUUGUGACGCUGAGUCCUAAGAAGUCAUUAUCUAAGGUAAUUAUAAAUUCUAAAGGAGCAAAAUACUUUCAGCACAUAGAGGGAAAGAACAGGUAGUUUAAUAUGAAGUUCUGCAGGUACCUUCAGAAUGUCUGACCUGAAAGAUGCCAGGUUUUAAUGAGGAAAGAGGAUAAGUGCUGAUAUUCUGUUCUUGUUAACUUGAAAAUUUUGAGAUACUUAAAAACUUUUUUUUAUCCAUAGUUUAUAGAAAAUUUAGCUCUUUCAAUUUGCUAACAAAGUUUUCACCAUGAUAUUACGUAAUAUUGACUGUAGCAUGGUAAGACUUAAAAUGGGUAAAAACCCAUUACUAUUUUUGCAGUUUUCUUUCUUACCAAACCACUUAUUCAGCAAACAAAUAGCAUAAGGUGAUACUAUUUUCAGGUAUUUUCCUGUCUCUGGGAUAACUGCUGAAGCUUACAUCUGUAAAUAUUAGCUUAAGCAACCGGUUAAAUAUAUUUCUGGUCCUCAAAGAAAUAACUGUAGUUAUAUUUAAGCAUUCCUACUUACGAACAUUUUCACGUAAGUAUCUUCUACCAUCAUUGGCUAAUAUCUCUGCCGACCAACUGUCAUGGAUGUGGCGCAGUUCAAAUCAUCUUGCAUUUCUGUGGGUUUACAUCAUCUUAAACCUGUAUUAAUUUGAAGGUACAUUUGGCACAAUGUGAGUUUUAUGGGCAUCACUUGUAGCAUCAGCAAUUAUUGAGAUUACUUGUUUCUUCUCAUUUCAAGCAUGUUGGUGCUGCCAGUGUUACAGUCAUAUGACUAGGGUGAGCCUGACAUGUCAGACACCUGUCUGAGCUUGAAAGAUUUUUGGAAAACUUCAUCCUAAGGAGUUCAGCUUUUUCCAACACUUUGACCAUGGAAAAAUCCCCAUCUUUUUCAUGUUAAACUUCGAAGUAACCUUUUUUUUUUUUUUUUUUUUUUUUACCACAACUUUAAC
rnacentral:lncRNA from 1 species